AGGGUUUGAUUCUGGCUCAGGAUGAACGCUGGCGGCGUGCUUAACACAUGCAAGUCGAACGGGGAACAUUUUAUGGAAGCUUCGGUGGAAAUAGCUUGUUCCUAGUGGCGGACGGGUGAGUAACGCGUGGGUAACCUGCCUCACACUGGGGGAUAACAGUCAGAAAUGACUGCUAAUACCGCAUAAGCGCACAGGAUUGCAUGAUCCAGUGUGAAAAACUCCGGUGGUGUGAGAUGGACCCGCGUUGGAUUAGCCAGUUGGCAGGGUAACGGCCUACCAAAGCGACGAUCCAUAGCCGGCCUGAGAGGGUGGACGGCCACAUUGGGACUGAGACACGGCCCAG
rnacentral:rRNA from 1 species